CCUCAGUGCCCGUCUCCCAGUCACCCCAACCCCCAGUCCACCUCCCUUUCUACCACCCCUUGUUCGUUUCCCAGAGUUAGGUGUCUCUUAUGUUCUGUCUCCCUCAUUGAUAUUUCCCACUGUUUUCUCUCCUUUCCCCUUUAUUCCCUUUCAUUAUUUUUUAUAUUCCCCAAAGGAAUGAGACCAUAUAAUGUUUGUCCUUUUCCGAUUGACUUACUUCACUAUUUGCUUCAACGUGGAUGGAACUGGAAGGUAUUAUGCUGAGUGAAGCAAGCCAGCCAUUUGGAUUGAAGAGGCUAGCCAACUCAGUCUGACACUCAAGCCCAUGCUUUCUCACUGAAUUGGUCAUUUAUAUGAGUUGAUUGAUCUGCCCAUUGAGUCAUAACAGUUGAGCCAGAUACUCAUGCAGAUUUAGUGAUAUGGCUAACACCUGCAUUGUGAGCUAAGUCAAGGUGGGCCCCUUGGAAACAUAGAUAUUUGAAGACUGUUCUUUCCUAUCACGUUGCUCUUUGUUUUGUCACAAAGUGACAUCUGUGACAGUCCUACCCCAACUUGAACAUAUGUUAUCCCUAUAAGCAAUGCACUCUACUCUUCUGAAGACCUCUGAAACCAAUCUGUCCCACCAGAUCAUGAUGUAGAUUACACCUAGGAAUAUGACACAGAAGACUUCCUCGCUCGGAGUACUCAAUGAAGUGAGAUGGAUGCAACAAAUAGCCAGGAAGCAUCAUGUUUCCAAAGCUAGUAUCUCGGCUCAUUUCAUCAUUGAGGAGGGCAGUGAAAUGCUCCAGAAGGACCUUGAUUUCUAUGGAAGAAGCUUGCAUGAGCAAAACCAGUUUGUCCAGAAAUGUAUAGAUGAACACCUUCAUUUACUUCUGAGAUCCUGGGUUCUCAUGGCCCCUGUGCUGAUGUUGCUGCUCCUGUUGGAGCAGAGACUGUGUGUGGGAGAUGGGCACCCCCAGAUGUACUUCAUGGGGCUCAAACAAAUUCACCUUCUACAGUGUUUAAAAAGCAAGAUAUUUCCCAUAAAAUCUCCAUCUCUGGAGUCUCAAGGAGAGAAACAAAAGCUCUCCCAGUAUUCAGCCCAUAUUCUUAAAUGGUAACAACUGGCUGGAGCUGAGGAAUGGCUGCCUCUUUGGGUCAGGAUGUGCAUUCAAGUUUGUCACCAUCCCAAUUGCUUGUUGUUGCAAGGGUUACAAGCUAGGUGACAUUGAAACCCGGCUAACACAGUUUGUUUGGUCAGUAUAACCCCUAAAUUAUUAUUAGUAUGUAUUUUUUUAGAAAGUUGUAAUGCUUAUGGUCAGCUUUGAAACUCUGCAGUUCCACUGGUCAACCUUCCCAUUGCUCUAGACCUGGCCAGAUUCAUGUACUUCUACUGCCGGCCUUGCAGGGUAGCAGCCCUCCCCCUUGUCCUACCCCAUGUCCCCUCAGCCUGCUGGAACUCCCCUGAGGCCCACAAAGGUGGUUUCCAGCAGACACACAGCUGUCCACCUCAAAAGCCUGUGUCUCUCUCUCCCUUUCAUUGCCUAAGGGCUUCCCCCUCAACUCUAUGCGCAUUCUGCAGGCACAAAGAGGUAGUGCUGGGCAUAGGUGCCCAUGCUGUAGCCCUCCUGCUGCGGGGUGGGGGGUGUGGGGCGGUGGGAGGGUAGGGUGGGGGGGUGGUGUUGGCAGUGGAAGCACACCUCAGUCACCCCAAUACCAGGUGGAAUGCUUUUGGAUGCAUUUCACAUGGUUUCUCAGAGGGUCCCCCGUGCAAGGGAGCCCCACUGCCCACAGCAAGAAUCCACUCAUGAACUCAUCCUUCGUGGCUUUUCUCCCUUAGAGAGAGCUGAGACCACUCUUCUUAACUUGAGCUUCCUGGGAUUGCCUCCCAAAUCCACUGUGUGCCCCAAGCUUUGAGCUCGGGUUGCUACCCUGGGAAACUACCCUAAGACAUUAUUUAAAUAUAUUCUACUGUUGAGGGCAUCUUAACAGCUACACACUGUGAGAACGGCUAUCGGGGUUGGGAUGGUUCUGGGAUCCAUGUCACGGAAGGAAAGCUUGUAGGAAUUGUGCAGAGAAGACUUAAAAUAAGCCUGAUAACUAUAGUCACAUUUAGGGGGAAAAUGUUCUCUGAAAAGAGAGAUAAAAUGGACAGGUUAGCUCUAGAGGGCGAGAUUAAGACCAGGAAAUUUGACCCAGGCAGAUGGUAGGUUUAAUAUAAGGACACAUUUUUAAUCUUUAGAGCACACUAAAAUGGAAUGGACUGCUUUGUACAGAGGUUCACAUUUCCUUUCAGAGAUUUGAAGUAACGAAAUUCCCUUACUUUACAAAGACCCUUAUAAUCCAUGUUGCCCACACGCAUUUAUUUAAUAUCACAAACAUGGGACAUACAAGGGAAUCUUGCAGUUUAUCGGACUGAGUGGCUUGUCGGAUGUUUCUUUUAAGGUGCAAGGAAGGGAAAAGAAAGAGAUAAAGCUGGCAUUUGGUGAUGGGAGUAGUCCCCCUCCCAUUAUAGGGAUAUAAUUUAGCACCCCUAUAAAACCUAGGAAUGCCUCAAAUCAAAAUGCAUUUUUUUCUCUUCACACUGAGAAUCUCUUAAGUGCACAGGAACACAUGAGAUCAGGUGAAUUAUCUAUUAUCGGAAAGAUAUUUACGAUGCCUAAGGUGGAAGGGCACGAUUCCUAUCUGCUCCUCACAGGAACUCAAACACGAUAGUAAGCCAGCAGGGAGGAAAUAGCUGAAAUAUUUGGAGGAACAGACCCUCCCUGCCAGAGGUUACAGUGAAUUCAAGUGUUUUCCACUUCUGCCCUUCUUCAAAGCUACAAAGCAAUGAGGUAGUCAAAUUAAUGAAGUAUUGUAAUAGAAAUGGAAAGAUUAGAGUGUGCCGAAGAGUGGAAUACAGUUUUGUUCUUAAGAGGCACGAUAGAUAGGAGAGAAGCACUUUGAUGUAAGAGGCUGGCUGGAGGGGCUAUUCAGCUUCAGUGUCACCAAAAAAAAAAGGAAGGAAAAAAGAAAAAAGAAAUGAAAAGAAAGAAAGAAAAAUCAGAAUGGGCUAGCAUGAUUUUGUUAUCAUUACAGAUAGAUAACGCGUGAGAAAAUAGACAUUAGCAGGUUGUAAUUCAAUGGAGGGUUUCAGAUAAAUGUAAGCUAUGAGAGCAGGGCUCUAUCCAGCGUACACUUUAUCAGAACCUCCUGUGGGUUGAAUUACAGCUCCCAUAAUGGCCAGUGGUCUUCCCAUUUAUAUUUAUGGAUUCCAGUCCUCCCAACAAAAGUAAAAAAAAUAAAUAAAUAAAUGGAAAUUUGCUACCA
rnacentral:lncRNA from 1 species